rnacentral:rRNA from 1 species
UACGUAGGGUGCAAGCGUUAUCCGGAAUUAUUGGGCGUAAAGAGCUCGUAGGCGGUUUGUCGCGUCUGCCGUGAAAGUCCGGGGCUCAACUCCGGAUCUGCGGUGGGUACGGGCAGACUAGAGUGCAGUAGGGGAGACUGGAAUUCCUGGUGUAGCGGUGAAAUGCGCAGGAUAUCAGGAGGAACACCGGUGGCGAAGGCGGGUCUCUGGGCCGAUACUGACGCUGAGGAGCGAAAGCGUGGGGAGCGAACAGG